GAUGAACGCUGGCGGCGUGCCUAAUACAUGCAAGUCGAGCGAACAGACGAGGAGCUUGCUCCUCUGACGUUAGCGGCGGACGGGUGAGUAACACGUGGAUAACCUACCUAUAAGACUGGGAUAACUUCGGGAAACCGGAGCUAAUACCGGAUAAUAUAUUGAACCGCAUGGUUCAAUAGUGAAGGACGGUUUUGCUGUCACUUAUAGAUGGAUCCGCGCCGCAUUAGCAAGUUGGUAAGGUAACGGCUUACCAAGGCAACGAUGCGUAGCCGACCUGAGAGGGUGAUCGGCCACACUGGAACUGAGACACGGUCCAGACUCCUACGGGAGGCAGCAGUAGGGGAUCUUCCGCAAUGGGCGAAAGCUUGACGGAGCAACGCCGCGUGAGUGAUGAAGGUCUUCGGAUCGUAAAACUCUGUUAUUAGGGAAGAACAAAUGUGUAAGUAACUAUGCACGUCUUGACGGUACCUAAUCAGAAAGCCACGGCUAACUACGUG
rnacentral:rRNA from 1 species